AGAGCGAACGCUGGCGGCAGGCCUAACACAUGCAAGUCGAACGAACUCUUCGGAGUUAGUGGCGGACGGGUGAGUAACACGUGGGAACGUGCCUUUAGGUUCGGAAUAACUCAGGGAAACUUGUGCUAAUACCGAAUGUGCCCUUCGGGGGAAAGAUUUAUCGCCUUUAGAGCGGCCCGCGUCUGAUUAGCUUGUUGGUGGGGUAAUGGCCCACCAAGGCUACGAUCAGUAGCUGGUCUGAGAGGAUGACCAGCCACAUUGGGACUGAGACACCGGCCCAAAACU
rnacentral:rRNA from 1 species